rnacentral:rRNA from 1 species
UACGUAGGGUGCGAGCGUUGUCCGGAAUUAUUGGGCGUAAAGGGCUCGUAGGCGGUCUGUCACGUCGAAAGUGAAAACUCAGGGCUUAACCCUGAGCCUGCUUCCGAUACGGGCAGACUAGAGGUAUGCAGGGGAGAAUGGAAUUCCUGGUGUAGCGGUGAAAUGCGCAGAUAUCAGGAGGAACACCGGUGGCGAAGGCGGGUCUCUGGGCCACUACUGACGCUGAGAAGCGAAAGCAUGGGGAGCGAACAGG